UUGAAGGGAGAUUACUCUAUUGAAUUAAACUGAAAGCAUGUGUUUGUGAAAAUGUUACGGAAUUUGUGUUCGUUUCUUUUUAUCCUAUUUGUGUGCGUUGAGUGCAAACAGUUUUCGCAGAAAUGUUUUGGGAACCCAACAAUCAUACAAUGACGUGUGAGGUCCAUCAUGGUGUUUUGGAACAUAUAACUGGCAGUCAAUAUAGAUUAGUGCGAGUCAUUAACGUUAAAGAUGGUGAUCUAAAGAUUGCGACGUCACUAUUUCCAAAAUUAAUGAAGAUCGAUGGUGGAAUUGUCUCCUGUAGGAGUCUUGACUUUGACGACACUCAAGAGAGGACUAUCGUGGUUAAUGGUGUAAAGUGUGCUCUGAAGACAACCCCUCGGAUAUGAACAACCCCUAUGAGAACAACUACUCGGAUGAGAACAACCCCUAUGUGAACAACUACUCGGAUGAGAACAACCCCUCAUAAGAACAACCCCUCAGAAGACAACCACUCGGAUGAUGACAACCCCUCGCGUUAGAACCUCUCAGCAGUUUGUUGUUAAAGAAUUCAUGACAGAAAUUGUGCUGAUAGUAUGCUUCUUUGUGGUGUUUGUUUUUCUAAAAAUUGUAAAAUACAUUCAAAUCUGUCGUCACACUGCACUCCAUCAUGUUGCUCGUAGUUGUCAUCCUCGAUGUCAACUCUCACCUUCUGUCACUACACCAUGCACUUUUAUUCAUUGUUAUAAUCAGUGCGUGUGUGUGUGUAUGUGUGAUAUUUUAACAAAUUACACAUAAUCAAUGAACAAGUGCUCUGAUUUUAUAAUUAUUGUGAAUUAUACAAGUGCUGUGAAUUGUUUGAUAAUUAUAUACAAUCAGUGUUUUUGUUAAUGAUUUACAAACAGUUUAUAUUAUUAUUUUACAAUCGGUGUUUUAUGAUUAUUUUCAACCAGUGUUUAUAAUUAUUUUCAACCAGUGUUUAUAAUUAUUUAUACAACUUAAUGUUAUAAUUAGUUUAGAUAUUAUUCAGGAGUAGUUCUGGAAGAGUAGGCAAAUUGUGAUUUAUUUAUUUUAAAAAAUUUUUUUAACUUAACAAACUUUAUCAUUUUAAUUUUAAAACAAAUAGGUAAAUAAUUUGAUAAAAUAAAUAAAUAAUUUUUGUAAUCUUAAUUUCAAAAAAAAUAAAAUAAAAAUGUAAUCUUAAUUAUAUUUAUCUACUGAAAGUACUGUGUAGUGUAGAAGAAAAAACUCAACAUGUAUACAUGUAUAUAUAUAUAUAUAUUCCUUCUUUUCUUUCUGUAACUAUACAAUCAAGUAUUUAAAAAACAGAGCUGUUCCUGUAACUCAUACCUUUUUCUUUAUAUAAUAAAUAUUACUUAUAUUA